rnacentral:rRNA from 1 species
CAGCCGCCGCGGUAACACGGAGGGAGCUAGCGUUGUUCGGAAUUACUGGGCGUAAAGCGCGCGUAGGCGGUUACUCAAGUCAGAGGUGAAAGCCCGGGGCUCAACCCCGGAACUGCCUUUGAAACUAGGUGACUAGAAUCUUGGAGAGGUCAGUGGAAUUCCGAGUGUAGAGGUGAAAUUCGUAGAUAUUCGGAAGAACACCAGUGGCGAAGGCGACUGACUGGACAAGUAUUGACGCUGAGGUGCGAAAGCGUGGGGAGCAAACAGGAUUAGAUACCCGCGUAGUCCCUGUCUCUUAUAC